GACCGCCGCUGCGGCUCGUCUCGGCACGUCCGUCGCUCGCCGACAGUAAGUUCUUUCCUUUUUUCUUUUUAAUUUUUAUGCAGAUUAAAAAUCAAAAGCUGGAGUAAAAUUUAAAGCUCCAAAUCAAAAAGUAAAAAUAAAAGUUGAAAGAAACAAAAGAUAAAAAUUUAAAGUAACAGUAAAAGUAAAAAACACAAGACAAAAAAAAAGCAAUAAUACCAAAAGGCUCAUUCCGAGACCCCAUCGCCAAGUAGCUCCCCCUUUUGUUCGACGAUAUUGUCGGUUCUCCCUGUGUUUGUUCGUUGCUACCACUGCUCUGACAAUCCUUAGAGGCUCCGUA
rnacentral:lncRNA from 1 species